rnacentral:lncRNA from 10 species
GAUCUCUUUGUUUUUUCUCCUACUAGAGUUCUUUGAGAAUCUUGGACAUGUGAAAUAAUGUAUUCUAUCAGAUUUGAACAGAAGUGUAGGAAAAAAGAAGGUCUUGUGGAAAAAGCAAAAUGAUUCAAUAUAAUAAAAGCAUUGGAGGAAACGGGUCUCAAAAACACAAGACCCUAUUGAGCUUCAAGUGUGCAGCUUAUGGAAAGGAGCCCUAACUGCUACUAGGAUGCUAUCCGGAGACCAAUCAACUUGGAGAAAAUACAGGACACGUUUCCUCUGUGUAUCAGCUUGUGGAUGCAGGAUGGAUUUACGUGUCCCUGGAGGACAGGAAGGCAUAAACAACGCUUGGCAUCAGCAUCAUGAAGUGCUGACAUCACCAGUUCAAAUCAUCUGACGGAGCCAGAAAAUUAGAAUCCAAAACUUGAUUUCAUAGUAUACUGCCUUGCAAAUGAGGAAAUAUGACAGAUCUCAAAAGUGCUUCUGAAUGUACGCCCUCUUGCCCAUUUUUUUUUUUUUUUUUGCAUUCUGAUCAAGUAUAUUCAAAGGGAGAUAAUAUUGCAAGCACAUCCUGGGCGACUGGGGAAAUGAAGGUUUGAAUAUUGGCCCUGAAGUUGUAGACUAAGUGGUAAGCAAUGCUUCAUAAUAAUAAUAAUAAGCUCCAAUCACACGAAGGCAAAAACCAGUCCUAACCUCAAUAUAACAGACAUAUUUAUAUGGUGGAAUCGUGCCAUCUCCUGCUUGGCAGCAUCAGACUGAUGAGCAAGCUGUGUUUGAGCUGUCAGAUGCUCGGCCAUCACUGUCAGUUCCACUUUUGACACUUCAGUUAUGUCUGUAUUUUGAGAAAGGGCAAAAGACUGAUGCUUCCCAAAUCUAUUUUCUGGCCCAGAGUUUCAUUUUUUCAUCAAAAAUCUCAUUUAUCAAUAUCUAGGAGAGAGGUUACUUUUUUUGAAGGAAGGGAAGGAUUUCUGAAAUAUAAUCAAUUUAUUUCAACAUUUAUUUUGCUUUUACUUGGUGAUCAUUACAAUCUCUAAAGGGCACUUUUUUCAAAGAAUAGGUUAUUUAUUUUAUAAAACUAUUUCAUGAUGCCAUUUUCACCGUUAUUGCAAUACACUUCAGCAUUUCAGGCUCAACAGCAGUUAUUUUAAUGUUUUCAGGGAGAUAAUCCAUAAAAGCAGUAUAUUUUACAAUGUCUAUUUUUUAUGUAUUUAUGUAUGUAUGUAUGUAUUUGUUUGUUUGUUUGUUUUUUGAGAUAGUAUCUCACUCCAUCGCCCAGGCUGGAGUGCAGUGGUGCGAUCUCGGCUCACUGCAACCUCCGCCUCCCAGGUUCAAGCAAUUCUCAUGCCUCAGCCUCCCGAGUAGCUGGGAUUAGAGGCAUAGGCCACCACGCAUGGCUUAUUUUUGUAUUUUUAGUAGCGACAAGGGUUUCGUCAUGUUGGCCAGGCUGGUCUUGAACACCUGACCUUAAGGGAUACACCCGCCUCGCCCUCCCAAAGUGCUGGGAUUAGAGGCACGAGCCACUGCUCCCAGCCAGUGUCUAUAUUUUAUAUUUGAUUAUUUGUUUCCAAUGUUAUGUACCUACA